GCGGCACGGGGUGAGGCUGCAGCCAACUCCGCUCCCCGCGCACUCGGCUGCCCAGGCGCUCGGAACCCAGCAGCGGCGCUCCUCCGCGGUGCCGGUCGCCCGCGAUGCCCGCUUAGCAGCGUGUAGCAGCGGCCAGCAUCACCACACCCGCGGCACCGCGCUGCCGGCCGCAGAGCCGGGCCAGAGCCUUGCACCCCUGCCCCAGCCCCCACCCCGCCCCCCGCCCUGAAAUGACUUGUUAAUCGGCGCAGACACCACCAAGGGGACUCACCGAAGUGGAAUCCAAGUGGAAUUUGGAUUUGGAGAAGAGUUUCUUGAACAUUUACCCUCUUCCUUGUUGGUUUUCUUUUUCUUUUUCUUCUUUUUUUUUUUGGCUUCUUUUUUCCUCUCCCCUUCUCCGCUCGUCAUUGGAGAUGAACACAUCGCGUUUGCAUCCCAGAAAGUAGUCGCCGCGACUAUUUCCCCCAAAGAGACAAGCACACAUGUAGGAAUGACAAAGGCUUGCGAAGGAGAGAGCGCAGCCCGCGGCCCGGAGAGAUCCCCUCGAUAAUGGAUUACUAAAUGGGAUACACGCUGUACCAGUUCGCUCCGAGCCCCGGCCGCCUGUCCGUCGAUGCACCGAAAAGGGUGAAGUAGAGAAAUAAAGUCUCCCCGCUGAACUACUAUGAGGUCAGAAGCCUUGCUGCUAUAUUUCACACUGCUACACUUUGCUGGGGCUGGUUUCCCAGAAGAUUCUGAGCCAAUCAGUAUUUCGCAUGGCAACUAUACAAAACAGUAUCCGGUGUUUGUGGGCCACAAGCCAGGACGGAACACCACACAGAGGCACAGGCUGGACAUCCAGAUGAUUAUGAUCAUGAACGGAACCCUCUACAUUGCUGCUAGGGACCAUAUUUAUACUGUUGAUAUAGACACAUCACACACGGAAGAAAUUUAUUGUAGC
rnacentral:lncRNA from 1 species